rnacentral:rRNA from 1 species
AUUGAACGCUGGCGGCAUGCCUAACACAUGCAAGUCGAGCGGAAAAAGGGCGCCGGCUGCUGACGAGUGGGGCACGGGGGAGAAAUACGUCGAAAAGUGUGCCUUCGAGGGGGGGAAAAAAUCGAAAGAUGGGCGCAUACAGCAUACGAGCUAUGGGUGAGAGAGGGGGGGCGCAAGGCAUCGCGCGAUAGGAGCGGACGCUGGCAGGUUAGGUCGUUGGUGGGGUAAAAGCGUACCAAGACGACGAUCUGUAGAUGGUCUGAGAGGCUGAACAGACACACUGGGACUGAGACACGGCCCAGACUCCUACGGGAGGCAGCAGUGGGGAAUUUUGGACAAUGGGCGAAAGCCUGAUCCAGCCAUGCCGCGUGUAUGAAGAAGGUCUUCGGAUUGUAAACUGCUUUUGUACGGAACGAAAAGACUUUGGUUAAUACCUUGCUUUCUUGACGUUACCGAAAGAAUAAGCACCGGCUAACUACGUG